GAUGAACGCUGGCGGCGUGCCUAACACAUGCAAGUCGAGCGAACGGACGAUAAGCUUGUUUUUUUGCUGUUAGCGGCGGACGGGCGGGUAACGCGUGGAUCACAUUCUUAUAUUUCUGGGAUAAUUACGGGAAGAAGCAGAUGAUACUGGAGCAUAUUAUGUACCGCUUGAUUCAAAGGAGAAUGACGGCCUUGCCGUCUCUAUUAGCUGAUUCCGCGCUGCAUUAGCUAGUUGGUAAGGUAACGGCAUACCAAGGCGACGAUGCAUAGCCGACCUGAGAGGAUGAUCAGCCACACUGGAACUGAGACACGGUCCAGACUCCUACGGGAGGCAGCAGUAGGGAAUCUUCCGCAAUGGGCGAAAGCCUGACGGAGCAACGCCGCGUGAGUGAAGAAGGUCUUCGGAUCGUAAAGCUCUUUUAUUGGGGAAGAACAGAUGUGGGAUAAACUGUGGACAUCUUGACGGUACCUAAUCAAAAAGCAACGGCUAACUACGUG
rnacentral:rRNA from 1 species